rnacentral:lncRNA from 1 species
CCUUGUUGCAACAGGACUAAGUGUAAUGUGAAAAGGUUUUUCCUUUCACUUCUCUACAGCUGGAUUUCUCUGAUUUUGACCUGGAGCAGUCAGAGAGGUGUGAGUAUGACUCGCUGGCUGUGUUCGGGGACACUGAGGCGAGAGAGGAAAUCGUGCUGCUGUGUGGUCAGAGCAUUCCCCCGCCCGUGUUGAGCUUCAGCAGUGUGAUGUUGGUGCAGUUCCACAGUGACAGCAGUGUGUCUGGCCGGGGCUUCACUGCUACACUCUCAUUCAUCAGCAAAACAGAUUUCUGAGGAUGAGUUUCUGCCCAGUGAAGUUUACAGAAGUCAUUUCAGUGAGGACCUCAGCAGAACCUAUUUGCUAGGUUCUAUGGACUUAUGGAGAACGCUGCAAGCUUUUUGGAUCUGUGGAUUUGUACAAAAGUCUGAGCAACAAUAAAUCAAGAACAAUGUGGAGGGAAAUGUAAUAC